rnacentral:rRNA from 1 species
UACGGAAGGCAGCAGUGGGGAAUAUUGCACAAUGGGCGAAAGCCUGAUGCAGCUAUGCCGCGUGUAUGAAGAAGGCCUUAGGGUUGUAAAGUACUUUCAUCGGGGAGGAAAAAACAAAACUAAUAAUUUUAUUUCUUGACGUUACCCGAAAAAGAAGCACCGGCUAACUCCGUGCCAGCAGCCGCGGUAAUACGGAGGGUGCUAGCGUUAAUCAGAAUUACUGGGCGUAAAGAGCACGUAGGUGGUUUUUUAAGUCAGAUGUGAAAUCCCUGGGCUUAACCUAGGAACUGCAUUUUGAAACUGAAAUACUAGAGUAUCGUAGAGGGAGGUAGAAUUCUAGGUGUAGCGGUGAAAUGCGUAGAUAUCUGGAGGAAUACCUGUGGCGAAAGCGGCCUCCUAAACGAAAUCUGACACUGAGGUGCGAAAGCGUGGGGAGCAAAC